GAGCACCACGGCCCCAUCACUGCUCCGGGUGGGAAGGCCCUGCAGGGGUGAUGGGUUUUAGACAAAACAGUGCCCCCAGCACUGCUUGGCACCAGGGGAGAGGCUGGACUGGAGACCUGUGGGCUGGAUGAGGCAAACUGAAGACAGAAGCAAACAGACACGAGGAAAGAAAAGGGCACAGAGAAAAAAAGAUUUGAAAGGCAAGCUUUGGCACAGGGCUGGCAGCAGCCAGCAAGUUUACCACGGGAUCCAAGCCAGACACUUCUUAGGGAGGCAAGUGAGAUGACAGGAGGAAGCACAGGAGAUAAUCUGGGAUGAAGAGCUGCAGUGGAGACUCCUGGUUCAGCACACUCCCCUCGUGCCAAGUCAGUCACCCCAGGAAAGGAGGGGAUGUCACUGGGGCACCACCAGAGCUGGACUGCUCCCUGUUCAGAAUUCCCUGCUCCUGAGCCAU